GGAACUGGAGGUCGGGAUCGGGUUUGGGGCUGGAGUAGGCAGGCGGGACGCAUGGGUUUCUGACUUGGAGAAUCCGCGGGAGGAAGCUCCAGUGUGGGUUAAAAUUUGCCAUUGCCCGGCUUUCUCCGCCCUCCUCGGGGCACGCGGGCCAGCUGUAGUCGCUAAAACUCUCUGUGCGCUCGCCGUGUAUCAGGUACUGAGUUGAGGGCUUUAAAACCAUCGUCUCGUUCAGUAUCUUCUGAGUCCCCGUUUUGAAAGGUGAGGAAACGGAGGCUCAGAGAGAUGGGGCUGCCCUCCUCCACGGUGUGCUGAGGUUGCGGGGGCAAGGGCCAGCUGCAUGGGGGAGGCCUCUUCAUGGGCUGUGGUGCUGCAGUGGGCAGGAGCAUCACAGGAGGUGGAUGGGGGGCAGGUCACCCACCUCGAAGGAGAAACCACCAGGUCAAGUUCACCUUGUCCCUUCAGUGUCAAGGACGCUCCAGCCUCAGGACCUUUGCAUUGACAGUCUCUCUGCCUGGAAACUUCUCUCCCUAGAUAUCUGCAUAGAGGACUGACUGACCGCCCUGUUUCAGUUUCUUGUUCAUGCUGAGCCUGAAGCCAACUAUGAGAUGUGAGCAGGUUGAGAAUUUCUGAAACAGACUAUAGAAGACACCAGAGUGACACGUGCUUCUGUGGACUUUGUGUUUCUGGGCCAAUUUUCUGCCUAAGGAAUAGGUUCCUGGCUCCACAUGUAGAAUCACCUGGAGGGCAUUUGAGAAAUCCCAUUGCCCAGGCCCAUGACCAGGCAUCGCUCUUUUCAAGGCUUCCCAGGUGAUCUGAUGUCAGCCAGGGUUGGCCAUGGAUAUCCUGAAGUACCACCACACAGUUAAGCCUGCAAGGGGCUUGCCCUGAGAGGGGAGCCCAGGUUCUCUCCAGUGUAGGCAGGAUCUGCGAGGUCUGCCCACGCAGCACCAGCAGAGGGCACACAGAACAAAGGCUUGUUCCAUCCCCUUAUUCCAGAGCUGAAAUCACGGCUCUCCACCAGACAACCGGAACUGGGUUAGCGCUUCCACAAGGCACCAGUAGGGCAGUACGUGGGAGUUGUUACAAAACCCAAAUCAACAACAAAAGCAAAAGUCAGUUGUAGGACCUGUGUGUAUCUGUGUUUUUAUGCUCUCAAGGUAAUUGCAAGGCACCCACAUUCUGAGAUCACUCAAAGCCAUGCAAUAGACGGUAAAGCAGCACAGAAAACGGAAGUGGUCUUUAGAUUUGGGUGGUAGAUAUAUUGGCAACUGCCCCCUUUAACGAUGUUCCAAGAUAAUAAUUGUCUUAAUUCAGGCUGCUGUAACAAAAAUACCAUAGACUGGUGGCUCAAGCAACAGACAUCUGUUUGUCACAGUUCUGGAGGCUGGCAAGUCCAAUAUCAAGGUGCUGGCAGAUUAGGGGUUUGGUCAGAGCCCAUUUCCUGGUUCAUACACAACCACUUUCUUGCUCUGCUCACUAGUAGAAGGGGUGAGGGAGCUGUCUGGGGUCCCUUAUAAGGGCACUCAGCCCACGCAUGAGGGCUUCACCCUUCAGACCUAAUCAUCGCCAAAAGGUCCCACCACCAAAUACCAAUCACACAGGGGAUUAAGUUUCAAUGUAUGCAUUUGGGGGGAUAUAAAUAUUCAGUCUAUAAUAAAAAUCUAAUAGAAAUACCCAAACCUACAUAUGAGGAUGUUCACUGAAAUAUUUCUAAUAGCAAAAAUACUGGAAAUAAGCUAAGUUUUCAUUAGGAAGCAACACAGUUAAUAAAUGUUGAUAGAUCCAUACUGUGGAAUAUGUGUAGCCCUUAAAAAAGAAUAAGAUUGAAAUAUAUCUGCUCAUGUGGAAAGAUGGCUAUGGGGUGGUAAGUGAAAAAAGCAAAUCUCAGAACAAUGUGGUUCUCUGUGAUCUUGUGUUUUUUUAAAAAAAUGCACACAUUGCAAAUUGUUAACUGUGGCUAUCCCUGGGGAGGCUCUUGGGUGGGAGGGGCAGAUGAGAUGGGGUAAGUCUUCCACUUGCAACUUUAUAACCUAGUAUUAUUUAACAUUUUCAACAUGAGCAUGUUCAUCUUAACAAAUGUCAUGCUGUAAUGACAGUCUCCCCUUCCAUCCCUUUCUUCUCCCUCCAGCUUUCCAGGCAAGGGGGAGAGUUUCUCAACUGUGAAUUCUGAUUCUGGACUGAGAAGCCGAAACGUUCAAAUGACUUGCGUGGCUUGCAAGCAGCCCGAGAGACAGCCCUACUGCCGAGCGGUGGUGUGGAGAAGGCGGCGCAGAGCGGGAUGGCGCAUCGCUGUGAGUGAGACGGGGUGCCAGGGAGGCUGCUCAAAGGAGGGACGUCUGAACGCGAUGCCCAAAGACAGCCGGGAGUUCAGGAGCGGGGACUGGGAUGGGGACGGGGACGGGAGCCAUCUCUGCAGAGGGCACGGCACGUGCAAAGGCCAGGAGGCCAGGAGCAGCGCAGCGCCGCCACGAUGGCUGGAACACCGAGUGCCACGCCAUGCUGCAGACCGCCGGGCUUGCCCUGGGCUUGUGGGGCCUGUGGUGGGGGAGCCUCUGGGGUGCGGGGCCGCGU